GGGACUCAGAGGGUGCCCCUUGGAGCUGAGGUGGCUUGAGGGGUUCAUAGAGGCUGUGGGUCUGAGGGGAUGUCGUGAGGGAUUCAGAGGAUGUCCCAAGGAGCUGAGGUGGCCUGAGGGGCUCAGAGAGUCUGAGGGGAUGCUCUGAGGGACAUAGAGGGUGCCCCAUGGAUCUGAGGGGCUCAGAGGGUCUGAGGGGAUGCCCUGAGGGACUCAGAGGAUGUCCCAAGGAGCUGAGGGGCUCAGAGGGGGUGUGGGGCUGAGAGAAUGCCCCAUGGAUCUGAGAUGGUCUGAGGGGAUGCCCUGAGGGGCUCAAGGGAUGCCUCAAGGGUUUGAGGAAAGCGAGUGAGAAUGUGGCAGCAAAAUCUGCCUGCGGAUGAAAAACUCUCUCAGCAGCCUUGAAGGCUGAACAUCAACUGGGUGUUUCAGAAGUGAGGGGGAGCAGAAAGCACUUCAUCUCAAGACCCCUUCCCAGAGGGGGUUCACUGUGUUUUCACUGGUAUCAAAGCCACACGGCUCAGCAACAACACAACAAAACUCACGGGUGAGGCACAAACAUCCACAUCUCCUUCUGCUGCUUCACUAACGAGGCCGUUUGAAAUUUGUGGCAUUUCAGACUUCACUUUAUCCCAGCUCCAGCCUGCAGGCAUCCCCCUCCCAAAAUUGCCACGGGAGUAAUAAAACAAAUACUUUGCUGAUAAUAUUCUCCAACCCUGAGGACGAGAUGCCACCUCAGUGUUUGGAGUCUUGCUAACAGCCACCCCAAGGGGAGUGAUUCCAUGUGAAACGUCUGAAUGUGAAAUUUAGGGGAUUGAGAGUUGGGGUAAGAGCCCUGCAGCAGCCAGGAGGAGGAGGAAAAGGAGGAAGAGCCAGCAGCUCGCUGCUGCACAGUGAAACCACCCCAGGAUUUCUCUGCCCAAUAUCCUGUUACCACUUGAAUCAAGACCUGGAUGCCAAGCCAGCGUAUUUUUAGCACAUUUUGGACUUAAAGUGAAGGGAAUGCUGGUGAAAUACGCAGUACUGACAGCCCUGGAAAAUCUUUAUUCAUCUGCAGCACAGGCAGCAGGGAAGGCUGUGAGGAAGCAGAGCAAUCCAAAGCUGCAAACCGAGCCCUCUGGUCCCUCCAGCACAGCCUGCCCAGUCCUGUGCAGUUACCCGUGGCUGCUGGAGAAGAGGAUUUUUGCACACUCCAAGUGGACAGAGCACUGUGGGGAGGAGCGUGGUGUGCAGGGCAGUGUUGUGCUGCAGAUUUGGACAGCCUGCAGCCUCCAGAUGAGCUCUCUGUAUCCCAAGCAGGGCAGCUGCUAGAGCCCAGCUGGUGACAGGGCCAGAGAAGAGGGGGAGAAAACUCAGAAAACACGAAUAUCUGGACCCCACUGUGCUGGUCCAGGCCUGUGCUGUGCUUGCUCUGCUGAUGUAACGCUGGAUCUGAGGAAUGUGAGGAGCCCAAUGGCACCAAUGUGCCUCAUCCUACCUCCAGCAGUGACUGAGACCCAUUGCUCCAGGGAAGUACUGGAAAGAGGGCACUUACACAUAGAAUCACAGAAUCAUUAAAGUUGGAAAAUACUUUUAAAAUUAUCAAGUCCAACCAUUAACUGAGCAGCGCCAAACCCACCACUAAACUAAGUCCCCGAGUGCCACAUCUCCAUGAUUUUUGAACACUUAUAGGGAUGGUGAUUCCACCACUACCCAGAACAGCCUGUUUCAGUGCUUGACAAAACUUUCAGUGAAGAAAUUUUCCGUAAUGUCCAGUCUAAAGCUCCCCUGGGACAACUUGAGGACGUUUCCUCUCAUCCCAUUGCUGGGAGCAGACACCAACCCUCACCUGGCUGCACCCUCCUGUCAGGGAGCUGUAGAGAGUGAGAAGGUUCCCCCUGAGUCCCCUUUUCUCCAGGCUGGUUCCCUCCAGCUCCCCCCAGCUGCUCCUCAUCAGACUUGUGCUCCAGGCCCUUCACAAGCUUCCUUGUCCUUAUGAAGCAAACCCUAUGCAGAGUUUUCCUGCUUCUGCCCCCCUCACUUGGGACCUCACUGAAACCCUCCGGCACGUUUUGGUGCCUCCCAGCCCAGAGCUGCCUGGGUGGAUCUGUGCUGCCUGUGGCUGGCUGCUCUCUGAGGAUGGGGCCGCCGAGGGGAAGAGAGAGCUUUCCUAGCAGCAGAAGGUCCCUUUGGCGUUCAGGGACCAGCCUGCCAGAGAGCUCGGAGGUCCCUGGACGUGUGCCUUGGACAGUAGCUGGAACUGCUGGGAAAGGCCAAGGUGACCACAAGAGAUGUUCCCCACGUCUCUUUGCCAGGAGGAUGCACACACAGCAUUCACAUGCUUGCCAUCAGCGAGCUGGAACCCCAACUGCAGGAAACUUGGGGAUUUUACAAUUGUUUGUCAGCCUCGAGACAAAUAUCUCAUCCCCCCCCCAUCAGAAACUUGCUUCUCUACUGCGCGUGUGUUUCGAGUUUCCUCAUGCAAAACCUCGCGUGGGCGUUUGGAUAUGUAAUGAGCACAUAGUUCAGGAUGAAAACAAGUUUCGUGGAAGAGCCAAGUAACGCCAGAAAAAUGAAAGCAAUACAAACAACAACAUGGCACGCAGCCAUACCAGCCAGCUCGUGGGCCAGCCGGAUCUCACGUCCUCCCCGGAGCUGCGGAGCCGAUCAGCUGUUGGAAAAAGAGACCUUUAAAGACAAGCGAGAGAGGAAAUAGCAUUGGCAGCACAGGCCGCUGCAUGUUUCCUUCCAAAGCAGGACAGAGCCAAGGACAUUAGGCAGAGCUGUAACAUUUGGGGUCUCGUUGCUCAGCCAUGAAGCAAGGCAGAAACCUCAAGUGGGCUGCAGUUGUGUAAACUCCUAUUGUUUAGGGAGCGGAAGCGGAGCGCUGGCCCGGCGGGGUAUUGUCCUACCAGAUUUUGGCGGUGCUCACCUAACCGAGCUCCUCCUGCAAGGCCAGGGCCUCGUUUAACUCAGACGUGGUGCAAAGGGAGUAAAACCUCCUGCCUGCACCAGAACCAGGCUAAGAGCUUCCUCCCAAGGCAAACCCCUGCUGCCUCCCAUAGCACCCUCAAAGAAAAAUGUUUCUAACCUGUGGGCAAGGCUGGAACAGGACCAGAGGGAAUUCCAAAAACUCCUCAAACUGGCCUCACUCAUCUUCAUCUUUCAUUUUGAUGACAUGAUGGAAAAAAGUGGCAAAGCUAGUUGAGACCCAUUUCCUGUGGGGCUGCCAUGCACAUCCACACCAAAAAGGGAUGAGAACAAGCCUUAAAACCAGAUGAUGUUUUAUUUCUCCCCUUAGAGAGAGGGAUCAUCUGUGCCUCCUUACAAUGCAGUAAAACAAUACCUCCUUCAGCAUAAUAAAAUACCUCUUCUGAUCUAGGCCCUGAUCCAAGCAUCUGCUCCUGGGCUAAACACUCCAAUACCUGCUUGAGUCCUCUUCACUGCCUCUUGCAGCAUCCGCCCUUUGGUUGAAGGCUUAAAUCAGUGAAAGACCUCACUGACAAUCCAGAAGAUUGAAAAGGGCCCGAAAUGCCAGCGCCUCCAUGCACACAUUGGCAUAAUUCUCUGCAUAAAAGCCAGCUUUAAAAGGCUUGUUUUGCAAAGCACAAGUGCACAUUUUUUUUGAAUCAAGGUCAGUAACUCAGCUUCAUUCACUAGUCUCCAGCUGCAAAACAACAUGCCCCAGACAAUGGAGGAAAGUGUAUUUGAGUCAGAAGAUGCCUUUUAAGGGAUGCAAGUGGCUCUGAGCCACACUGGGGAAAGAAGAUCUCCUUGGUACCCUGGUAAAUCAGCCCUGUCUGAACUGAAAUAGGGCACCCGAGGGCAGGGAAAGCCAGUGAGAUGGGAAUGGUGGCACAAAUCACACUCACACUCGCCAUGCUUUGGUAAAAUCACAGAGUGGUUUGGGUUGGAAGGAACCUUAAAAUCAUCUAGUCCCAACUUCACCCGCCAUGAACAGGGAUACCUUCCACUAGAUCACAUUGCUCAAGGCCUUAUCCAGCCUGGCCUGGACACUGCCAGGGUUGGGUCAUCCACAUCCUCCCACCGGUGCUCCAGUGCCUCACCACCCUCACAGUAAAUAAUUUUUUCCUAGUACCCAGCCCUAAUUUCCCCUCUUUCACUUUGUACCCAUUACUGCUUGUCCUAUCACUGCAGUUCCUGAUGAAGAAUCCCUCUCUGACUUCCCUGAAGAAUCCCUCUCUGACUUCCCUGUAGGCCCCGUUUGGAUACUGAAAGAUUGCUUUGAGAUCUCCACACAACCUUCUCUUCUCCAGGAUGAACAACCCCAACUUCCUCAGCCUGUCCUGGUAAGGAAGAUGUUCCUGUCUUCUUGCCAACUUUAUGGCCCUCCUCUGGUCUUCGCUCAAACAAUUCCAUGUCCUUCUUUUUUUGGAAAAUGCAGUUUUCUGAUGUCACCCCCAUGCCACUCCCUCUGUGCCCACCUGUGUGACGCGCCACCACGCUCAGCUCCACUCCACAUUUCAGCACUCGUAGGAAGCAGACUAGACACUCCCAACUGUGCCUCAGGCUAAAAAUAUUUACUCAUCUCUUCUCCCCCAGGCAGGUGUGCUCAUCCCAGGCAGGACUGCUCCCACAGGGAUGCUCUUCCACAGCAAGCACUCGCUGCUCAUUGUACACUGCAGAACGCUGGGGUGUUGUGAUGAUUCCUCUGAAUCACCCAAAGAGAGCUCUGUCCUGUGUUUCAGAUGCAAAAUGUGCCUUGGAAUUCAAUAGUUGCUAUAGUGCCUAAUUACACAUUUUAUGGCGUACUUAGUCACAAUGGCUUGAGCUCUUGUUACUAGACUUGAGCUCCUUCUGUUGCUAUAAAGCUCCUCUUUUUGCUAAAUGUUUUCUCUCUGCAUUAGAAAUAGUGUAUUGCAGCAUUUUCUCCCUCGAAAAAUAUCCCAAAUUCAUGGAGCACUGGUCAUCAAAUUGAUAGUAGUGAUCUUGCAGUCCUCUUUCUGUCUGUGGUGCUCCACAAUGCUCACCAAAGUCGGCUCAAAUGACAGCAGCAAAACAAUUCCCAGGAUCCAGGAACUCUUGAGCAGUGGGCCUGGCAACACUGCAGUCUGUGGUUUGGAGACAAAUCACAUUGUCUGCUUGGGACAUCCACACCUUCCCCUGGGGGCUACAGAGAAGGUGGACUCCUUGGGUGCUCUUCCCAGAGGAUGAUUCAGCCCACCAUAGUCAGACACAUCUUGCGUGAAGCCGAAUCACUCUCCUGAGGUGCUGGUCUGUUUAAGCACAUUCUAGAAAGGCUCAGCUUUAUUGCAGAGGUCUGAGAUGGGUAAGACAAGCCCCAUGCUCUGCAUUGCUCCUCUAAACUGGAGGAAUUCAAUUGGAAUUGACUGGAAGGUCACACCCCACCUAAGGUACUCUCUUCAUGUCUGGAGCCCCCAACAUAAGAACAUGGAGCUGUUGGAGCAAGUCCAGAGGAGUCCAUAAAGAUGCUCCAAGGGCUGGAACAACUCUGCUCUGGAGCUAGACUGGGAGAGCUGGCAGUGUUCAUCUGAAGAGGACAAGGCUCUGGGAAGACAUCAGAUCUCCUUCCAGUGCAAAAAGGGGCUCCAGGAGAGCUGGAGAAGGACUUGGCACAGAAGAGUGGGGUGACAGGACAAGGGAGAAUGGCUCCCACUGCCAGAGGGCAGGGUUACAUGGGAUAUUAGGAAUAAAAUCUUCCUUUUGAGGGUGGGGAGGCCCUGGCACAGGUUGCUCAGAGAAGCUGUGGCUGCCCCAUCCCUAUAAGUGUUCAAGAAAAGGCUGGAAGGGUCUUGGAGCAGCCCAGUGGAAGGUGUCCCUGCCCAUGGCAGGAGAGUUGGAAUGAGAUGAUCUUCAGGAGCUCUUCCAACCCAAACCAUUCUCUGGGAUGUUCUCCACCAUAUAGGACAGGAUUGGUCUGUCCCUUAUUAACCUCUUUUUGUGCCUGGUUUUCUUCACAAGGAGAAAGAAGCUAAGUACUUAAUUGCCUACUUUCUAAGGACUCAGGCAGGAUAAUUAACUAAUGUUUGGGUAAUGUGUCAUAGGGUAGGAGUGCUAAGUAGUGUUCUGUCAGCAGCACAGUGGGAAAGUGAAGGACUCAAUCUUGUUUUUCAGCUGGGAAUGUCACGAUCUCCCCUAAGUCCAUUGUUCCUGUUGAGUGGUUUGCUGAGGGCAGGGAACUUGGGCAAAGUGUUUAUAGGAAGAGGAUGCGAGGGGACAGCAGAGAGCUGUUUGUGGUCCAGAAGAACAGUCAGAAAAACUGGUUGAAUUUUGGAAAGAGAAAACUGCCAAUGAAGCCAAAAGCAGGAAAUAUGCCUGAGACUGCACAGAAAAUCCUUACAUUUGUAAGCGUGGUGUAAAUAUUCAGCAGCAACAUCCUCUGAGUAACAAAAGUGCAUCAGAGAAACUUUUCUUGCACUGCACUUAUUGCACACAGGAAACACAUUGGGAAUUAUGGUAGAAAGACCCAUCUAACUCACCCUGGGGAUUGAAGCAGACUCAACCCAGCAGAGAGUUCACAUCUUUAAUUUUUAUUACUCUGCAAAUUACGUUAUGGAUGAACUUCAAGCCCUCCUCAUGUCCACCGAUCAUAAUUGAUGAGAUUUCAAUCGCACCUCCUUGAAGUUAAACAUCUGAGAGACACUUUGGUUAAUAGUUUGCCUUUCAGAGCAGUGCAUUAGUUCUCUUGUGCUUGUGUCUGCUUAAUUUAGAGCGAGUGGCCAAGAGUGGUGCAAUUAAAGAAGGAGGAAUCUUGGGCUGUAGCUCUUGGUGCUUUCAAAUGACCAGCAACCCUUCAGUGCCAGCUUGUUUUUUUACAGUAGCUGGAACAACGCUUUUCCUGACUCACUGCUAAUUAUGCUCUGGAUUUGCAAAUAAAGGUUUUUAACCUG